rnacentral:rRNA from 1 species
UACGAAGGGGGCUAGCGUUGUUCGGAAUUACUGGGCGUAAAGCGCACGUAGGCGGACAUUUAAGUCAGGGGUGAAAUCCCGGGGCUCAACCCCGGAACUGCCUUUGAUACUGGGUGUCUCGAGUCCGGAAGAGGUGAGUGGAAUUCCGAGUGUAGAGGUGAAAUUCGUAGAUAUUCGGAGGAACACCAGUGGCGAAGGCGGCUCACUGGUCCGGUACUGACGCUGAGGUGCGAAAGCGUGGGGAGCAAACAGGAUUAGAUACCCCCGUAGUCC